AUGAGCUGUUUUCAACUCACGAAGAAAAUUUGCGGAAACCUGUCAUCUAUUUCUUCUAACUUCUGGUGGGCUGAGGCUAAUGGUAAAAAGAAUGUGCAUUGGAUAUAUUGGGACAAGAUGUGCACGAGGAAGCGAGAAGGUGGGAUGGGUUUUAGGGACCCAGAGGCGUUUAAUCAAGCUAUGCUGGCCAAACAAGCAUGGAGAUUAUUCCAGGAGCCAAACUCGUUAAGUGUGAGGGUCUACUUCUUCUUCGGUCGCGGAUCACAAAGCGUGGCUGAGCUUGUGGGAUACGAUCGCGCCAGGCAAAGUCAAAACGCAUAUGUGGAGGAUGAUCCAAAAAGGGCUAGCAGUGGGGUCGGAGCUACUGAGAAGGAGGAUUAA
rnacentral:rRNA from 1 species